rnacentral:rRNA from 1 species
GACAGAGGGUGCAAACGUUGUUCGGAAUUACUGGGCGUAAAGCGCGUGUAGGCUGCUCGGAAAGUCGGAUGUGAAAGCCCUGGGCUCAACCUAGGAAGUGCAUUCGAAACUUCCGAGCUGGAGUUCUGGAGAGGAAGGCGGAAUUCUCGGUGUAGAGGUGAAAUUCGUAGAUAUCGAGAAGAACACCGGUGGCGAAGGCGGCCAUCUGGACAGAUACUGACGCUGAGACGCGAAAGCGUGGGGAGCAAACAGG